AAAAGAAGAAACUACUGAAAAGAAAGAUAAAAUGCAAAACCUGCCAUCAUGACAUGACGCUGAAGAGAAGAUCAAACAGUGGAGAUCAAUUUGCCUGGAUCUGCUGACAUCCAGUCCAUUUGGGGAGGCCAAAACAAACAUCUGUCAGGCACAACUGCAUAUUCAGGCGAUCCAAAGUAUCUUUGAGAAAGUGGAUACAUUUUAUGUACAGGUUGUUUAAAAAAAAACCAAUGUAACCACAAAUAUUAUAUUAAAUUGCAAUUCUGAAUACUUUUUCCUUGAUACAAAAGUAUAUUUUAAUUUGUCAGGCUCUAAGAUUAAGGCAGAUUGAUAUGAUGGCUGACGAAAUUGCAGCCAGUUCAGCAACACUCAGCAAAAUGGCAAAAAAAUUAAGGGAUGUCUGUGUGACAGCAGUUGAAAGGAUGAGAAGACGCACAGGCCAACUGAUUGGAGGAAGAAGGGAAUUUGUUGUUAUUGAUGAAAGCCAUUUUCGACACAAAAGAAAGUAUGGAAGAGGAAGAAUGACUGGUGGAUGGAAAAGAAAGCAGUGGGUCUUUGGGAUGUUAGAUGUCCAACAUGACCAGGGAAGACAAAAGCCAAUUCUA